rnacentral:rRNA from 1 species
UACGGGAGGCAGCAGUGGGGAAUAUUGCACAAUGGGCGCAAGCCUGAUGCAGCCAUGCCGCGUGUAUGAAGAAGGCCUUCGGGUUGUAAAGUACUUUCAGUCGUGAGGAAGGUGUUAAGGUUAAUAACCUUAGCAAUUGACGUUAGCGACAGAAGAAGCACCGGCUAACUCCGUGCCAGCAGCCGCGGUAAUACGGAGGGUGCGAGCGUUAAUCGGAAUUACUGGGCGUAAAGGGCACGCAGGCGGUUAAUUAAGUUGGAUGUGAAAUCCCCGGGCUUAACCUGGGAAUGGCAUUCAAGACUGGUUAGCUAGAGUCUUGUAGAGGGGGUAGAAUUCCAUGUGUAGCGGUGAAAUGCGUAGAGAUGUGGAGGAAUACCGGUGGCGAAGGCGGCCCCUGGACAAAGACUGACGCUCAUGUGCGAAAGCGUGGGGAACAAACGAGGAUUAGAUACC